rnacentral:rRNA from 2 species
GUAAUGCCGGAUGCUCCAGUUGAUCGCAUGGUCUUCUGGGAAAGCUUUCGCGGUAUGGGAUGGGGUCGCGUCCUAUCAGCUUGACGGCGGGGUAACGGCCCACCGUGGCUUCGACGGGUAGCCGGCCUGAGAGGGCGACCGGCCACAUUGGGACUGAGAUACGGCCCAGACUCCUACGGGAGGCAGCAGUGGGGAAUAUUGCACAAUGGGCGCAAGCCUGAUGCAGCGACGCCGCGUGAGGGAUGGAGGCCUUCGGGUUGUAAACCUCUUUUAUCGGGGAGCAAGCGAGAGUGAGUUUACCCGUUGAAUAAGCACCGGCUAACUACGUGCCAGCAGCCGCGGUAAUACGUAGGGUGCAAGCGUUAUCCGGAAUUAUUGGGCGUAAAGGGCUCGUAGGCGGUUCGUCGCGUCCGGUGUGAAAGUCCAUCGCUUAACGGUGGAUCCGCGCCGGGUACGGGCGGGCUUGAGUGCGGUAGGGGAGACUGGAAUUCCCGGUGUAACGGUGGAAUGUGUAGAUAUC